rnacentral:lncRNA from 1 species
GACGCUUCUCCCUAUUUUCCUCCCCCACUCCCUAUACGGCCCCAUCCGCCAGCGCCCGACCUUCGCUUCGAUUCCCCACGCUUUCCUCUGCGACUACUUAAGCCUUCAACGCCGCCAGAGACCUCCCCUCCCCACGCCAUUGCUACCCACCAAGCACCACCGUGGAACCCCCACCUCCGCGCUACCCCACCACUCGACACCGCCCUCUCUAGCUCCGCAGCAACAACACGCACCUUCUCCCCCCAUCCAUUGCCCUCCAGCGACGUUGCCGGCGCGGAACAUCUGAGCUCUGCCAUCGCCGCCCGUGUUUCCUUCCCCAAUGCCGUUCGCCCUCUCCGAGCCCUCACCGCUACCACCGCCUUCAUCAAACUUGCUCGAAGUGAGCACACGCAUGGCCUUGGCUACUUAUCCCCC